ensembl:lncRNA
GCUGGGACCUCGUGGCGCAACGGAAGUGCGUCUGACUCCAGAUCAGAAGGUUCAAAUCAUGUCGGGGUCAUUCAAUGUGCUCUUUUUCACACAGACCCAUGAUUUAUUUUCUGUGCAGUCUAAUAAGGAUGCUGUUAUAUGGACUCCAAUCUCUAUGAUGACCACCCAUGUCUUUGUCAACUUCAUGCUAAAAGGUAACAAAGCUUAGGUAGCAACACUCUCACCUGGUAACCAUUAGUAACUUGACAAUCUGCUGAAUGUUUACCCUUAGUUUGCCCAUUUUGCUUGCUGAACAAAACAUGCUGGAAAGAGGCACCUUAGAUGGUUUCACUGGACCUCUCAGAGGAUCUGGAGGGUACUACAACACCCAAACAGGCACUUGAACCCUGGACCCUCAGAUUAAAAGUCUGACGCUGUACCGACUGAGCUAUCUGGGCUCGAGAAGAGAGAGAGCGCACUUUACCCUCGAGCUUGUAGGUCAGGCCUGUGGAUGCUCUAGUUCAACGGUUCUCACAGACAUAAAUGGUGCUCAGCCCUUGGCUUGGAAAGGGCCCAUCCCAUCUGGUUCUCAUGGCUUUCUACAAACUAUUAACACAGCUCAGCACCACUAUUCAAGGAUACAAACCAACAGGGUUCAACCACGGCUCUGUCCUUCAUACUUCUUUACCCACUGACUGCCUG